AUGUAAUGUUCCCGUCUUUUAAUGCUACAAAGUACAAACCUACUUAGAAACCCUAGCGACUUCACUACCAAAUCCCAAUUCCCAGAGCCUCCGCAUUCCUUCAAACUCCGUUUACUCAUUCGUCUGCGAAAAGUGCGAGAUGUCGUCGAAGGUUAUAGUGCCAGUCAAAUAGAAACGGUCGUACAACUUCACUGAUGGCAGCGAUAAGAAGAUCAACAAGAACAAGCUCCUCUAUUUAACUCGAGCUAUAUUCUGUACAAAAAAUCUCCAUCUCCUCAUACACCCAUGGUAUAUCUCCUAUUUUCUUCUUUAACUUGCAGAUUAACAUAUUUUUUGAUUUCAUUUUCUGAUAAAGUGACCAUCUUGUAUUUUUGGUUCUUAUAUAUUUGGAUCCAGAUUCAAGCCGCGGUAUAGUCGGAUGGGCUUCGAAGGCAUUUUCUACGGCUGUAUUUUUGCUGUAUGAGCAUGUUGCGGAACGUUUGAAACCUCAACUUUUCAAUUAUCUUUCGGUUUCUCUAUUUCUAUUGCUGACAUUGCCCGUAUACUCGUUCCUGUGCUUUCACUUUAAUUCCUAGCUUCUAAGGAAACUUGGUUUGUUAGUACUAUAAUCGCUUUACAUAUUCAUGCUGUUCAACAUAUUCAUCCAGAUGAUGCUUUGGGUAACAGAUGAUUAGAAAUCUGGAAGUACUUCUGCCUCCUUUUUGCACCACAGGAAAAUAAAAAUAGAUUUAGUGAUGAGUGAAAAAAUUCCUUUGAUUUUAUUAUUUUUUCAUGACCAUCCGUCAAAGAAUAAGAAUGGUUAUGACUUGAUUAUCUAAACUAUCAAAAAACAACAACAAAAAACUAAGCCUCCAUUUACACCCCACCUCCCCCCCCCCCCACCAAUUAUUUGGAUUUAUAAUGGUGGAAUAGGUUUUUUUUUUUUAAAUGAAAAAUUUUCGAUUUACGUGUAAUAUUAUUUUAUUGAAGAUUGUGUGGUUGAAAAUAAAAGAGAGCAAAAUUUAAAUUAAAUUAAAUUGAUGAAUUUUAAAGGGAUCAAACGGGAUCUUAGAAAAGAAUAGUAGUAACUAUCGAGAUACUUUUUUAGGGAAAUUAUCAAGUGUACAGGGGAUUUUAU
rnacentral:lncRNA from 1 species